rnacentral:rRNA from 1 species
GACAGAGGGUGCGAACGUUGUUCGGAAUUACUGGGCGUAAAGCGCAUGUAGGCGGCAGCGCAAGUCGGGCGUGAAAUCCCACGGCUCAACCGUGGAAGUGCACUCGAAACUGCGCAGCUAGAGUCCUGGAGAGGAAGGUGGAAUGCUUGGUGUAGCGGUGAAAUGCGCAGAUAUCAGGAGGAACACCGGUGGCGAAGGCGGAUCUCUGGGCCAUUACUGACGCUGAGGAGCGAAAGCGUGGGGAGCGAACAGG